rnacentral:rRNA from 1 species
CGGUACGUACUGGCAUUGUUGGUUUCUCCCUUCUGACGAACCAUGAUGUCAUUUAUUUGGUGUUGUGGGGAAUCAGGACUGUUACUUUGAAAAAAUUAGAGUGUUUAAAGCAGGCUCACGCUUGAAUACAUUAGCAUGGAAUAAUGAAAUAGGACGUUUGAUUCUAUUUUGUUGGUUUCUAGGAUCGACGUAAUGAUUAAUAGGGAUAGUUGGGGGCAUUAGUAUUCAAUUGUCAGAGGUGAAAUUCUUGGAUUUAUUGAAGACUAACUACUGCGAAAGCAUUUGCCAAGGAUGUUUUCAUUAAUCAAGAACGAAAGUUAGGGGAUCGAAGACGAUCAGAUACCGUCGUAGUCUUAACCAUAAACUAUGCCGACUAGGGAUCGGAUGAUGUCAAUUUUUUAAUGACUCAUUCGGCGCCUUACG